rnacentral:rRNA from 1 species
AGGGAAUCUUCCACAAUGGACGGAAGUCUGAUGGAGCAACGCCGCGUGAGUGAUGAAGGUUUUCGGAUCGUAAAACUCUGUUGUAAGGGAAGAACCAGUACGUCAGGCAAUGGACGUACCUUGACGGUACCUUAUUAGAAAGCCACGGCUAACUCCGUGCCAGCAGCCGCGGUAAUACGGAGGAUGCGAGCGUUAUCCGGAUUUAUUGGGUUUAAAGGGUGCGCAGGCGGGCUUUUAAGUCAGCGGUGAAAUCUGGACGCUUAACGUCCAAACUGCCGUUGAAACUGGGAGUCUUGAGUAUGGAUGAAGUAGGCGGAAUUCGUUGUGUAGCGGUGACAUGCAUAGAUAUAACGAGGAACUCCGAUUGCGUAGGCAGCUUACUAAGCCAUAACUGACGCUCAUGCACGAAAGCGUGGGGAUCAAACA